GCCUGUGAUGAUUCAAUCCAACUAGUUUGAGGUGUAGUAGAGCUAAGCCCAUGUUUACAUGGAGAACCUACUUAGUGAAGCUGCAUUCACAUGAUAUCAAUGGAUCCUUCUGAGGC
rfam:Lupinus angustifolius cultivar Tanjil chromosome LG13, whole genome shotgun sequence.